AGGAGGGACAACCUAAUGUGCAAUUGUGGCCAUGAGUCCCAGAUUGCGGAAGACAUCAUAUCAACCUAUUCACUAAAAUUGGUUUCGGCAGGUACCUCAUUUCUCAACUUGGCAUUUCAGGAGGCCAUUGAACAGAUUUCAAUCUAUUGCAGAGAGAGGAGAUGUGGCGAAGUGAGUAAUGGAGAUGGGACAGCCAGGAGGAAGAGAAAUAAAAGCCUAGGACCAGGUAGAAAGAUGUAGUGGUGAUAGACUUAAACACAGCAGGAUUGGAAGAGGAAUGGGUGACUGACAAGAGGAGAUGGAGAAUUAUGAUCAACCAGCAUUGUGGAAACCCCAAGUAAUAUAGGAGAAGCCAAAAGAUGAAGAAUUUCGUAUUUCAAGCAUCGGCAGUACUUUGCUUUCAUUGUGUUAACAGAACCAGCUUUGAAAAACAGGUAUAAAAUAAAGGGUCUGAAUAAGCUAUCAACAUAGGAAACAAGAGUGAGACUCAGAACAAUGAUAAAACAUAAUCCAGAUAUUUUGAAUUUCCUAUUAUUGAGAAACCUAGGUGAGAAAACCAAAACUCUGUGAGGACAUCAAUCUGAAAGGAAUGAAAGAAACAAAUGAGAGAAAUAAAGAAAUCUAAUUGCA